rnacentral:rRNA from 1 species
UUAUGUCAACUUGGAUAUACCCGAUGAAGUCUGAUUUUGGAAGCUAAGCAGGACUGGUCCUGAAUAGUACUUGGAUGGAAGAGCAGUAGGGAGUACCACAGAUCUUAAA